rnacentral:lncRNA from 1 species
CCUGAGCCCUGGAAGGACGAGGCUAAAUUUCUACUCCCAGGAAGAUGGAAGAAAUCAGGAUACGAAAGCAGCUUCAUCUCCAUGACAGUAAGAAGCUCGCGUUUAUGAGUCCGACUGUGCGCCAUCCUGGUAAGGGACCCUGGGGCCCGGGAGCUGGCAUCCGGAACGUAGUGCCCGCAGGCAAGGAGAACAGGAAGAGCCGCCAGCUCUGGAGAACGCUGGAAGCCCUUCUGCCAGAGUCUCUGAAGCAGUCUGGAAAAUUCUACAGCCCACUGGGUGAAAACGAGGCAGCGAUGCAGCUCCUGCUCUUCUGGCCUGUGACGAAGACUUGGUGAGGAUGGUGACGGCGAUGGGGGAGGAGGACUGACGCCUGUUCGAAGUUCCAGUUUGCACCUUUCCUUCCCCAUCCAGCCUUGUUUAAUGCUCCAAGGCACUGUCUCCCAUUUACAGAUUUGGAAGC